rnacentral:rRNA from 1 species
GACGAACGCUGGCGGCGUGCUUAACGCAUGCAAGUCGAACGGAAAGGCCCUGCUUGCCGGGUACUCGAGUGGCGAACGGGUGAGUAACACGUGGGUGAUCUGCCCUGCACUUCGGGAUAAGCCUGGGAAACUGGGUCUAAUACCGGAUAGGAGCCAUUUUUAGUGUGAUGGUUGGAAAGUUUUUUCGGUGUAGGAUGAGCUCGCGGCCUAUCAGCUUGUUGGUGGGGUAAUGGCCUACCAAGGCGGCGACGGGUAGCCGGCCUGAGAGGGUGGACGGCCACAUUGGGACUGAGAUACGGCCCAGACUCCUACGGGAGGCAGCAGUGGGGAAUAUUGCACAAUGGGCGCAAGCCUGAUGCAGCGACGCCGCGUGGGGGAGGACGGCCUUCGGGUUGUAAACUCCUUUCGCUAGGGACGAAGCUUUUUGUGACGGUACCUAGAUAAGAAGCACCGGCUAACUACGUG